AGACACGUCCAGAGCUGGACUCCUCAUCAGAACAGCUGUGUGGCAGCACUGCACGAGAAAGGAAAAUACACUCAUGACAGGGUUGGACCGAUUCCUCAUCUUACACACUCUGAUGGCAAGAAAGAACCAGCUUAGUCUGAAAACUGAAACUGAAGCAACCCGAGAGUCCUGGUGUGCUCUUCGAUCUACUGUUCUCUCCCCACCAUCUGUUAUACUGAGAAAUGGAUCUCGUCCAAAAGGAUCAGAAAAGCUUCUCAUCAUCUGCCGCAUAUAUUCAUGGUGGGCAGCAAAAGGAUCUCUGAAAAAGAGAUAUUUUGCACAGAAAGUCAUCAGGUUUUAUUGCAAGCUACAGAAAAUUGCUCCAAAAUUGUUAAAAUGCAAUUUUAUUAAUCAUA